GUGCUCUCUUUGGCGGCACAUAUACGAAAAUUGGAGUGAUAUAGAAAAGAUUAAAUGGCCCCUGUGCAAGGAUGACAUAACAAAUUCAUGAAGUGUUUUCUAUUUUU